rnacentral:tRNA from 2 species
GCUACUGUGGCUAGAAUGGGAUGCAGCGCUUUUGUAAUGCGUUAGAUGCAGGUUCGAAUCCUGUCAGUAGCUCCA